rnacentral:rRNA from 1 species
ACACAUGCAGUCGAGGGGUAACAGAUCUUCGGAUGCUGACGACCGGCGAACGGGUGAGUAACACGUAUGCAACUUACCCAUAACUCGGGAAUAGCCCAAAGAAAUUUGGAUUAAUACCCAAUAAUACAGGCGUACCGCAUGGUAUUCUUCGUUAAAGAAUAAUCGGUUAUGGAUAGGCAUGCGUUCUAUUAGGUAGUUGGUGAGGUAACGGCUCACCAAGCCGACGAUGGAUAGGGGAACUGAGAGGUUGUCCCCCCACACUGGUACUGAGACACGGACCAGACUCCUACGGGAGGCAGCAGUGAGGAAUAUUGGUCAAUGGACGAAAGUCUGAACCAGCCAAAUCGCGUGAAGGAAGAAGGUAUUAUGUAUCGUAAACUUCUUUUGUAAGAGAGUAAAGUGCACUACGUGUAGUGUAUUGCAAGUACCUUACGAAUAAGCAUCGGCUAAUUCCGUGCCAGCAGCCGCGGUAAUACGGAAGAUGCAAGUGUUAUCCGGAUUUAUUGGGUUUAAAGGGUGCGUAGGUGGUCUAAUAAGUCAGUGGUGAAAUCUCUUUGCUUAACAAGGAAAUUGCCAUUGAAACUGUUAGACUUGAGAAUGGACGAGGUAGGCGGAAUUCGUAGUGUAGCGGUGAAAUGCAUAGAUAUUACGAAGAACUCCAAUAGUAUAGACUGCUUACCAGACCAUAUCUGACACUAAGGCACGAAAGUGUGGGUAUCAAACAGGAUUAGAUACCCUGGUAGUCCACACAGUAAACGAUGAAUACUAACUGUUUGCGAUAUACAGCAAGUGGUCGAGCGAAAGCGUUAAGUAUUCCACCUGGGAAGUAUGCCGGCAACGGUGAAACUCAAAGGAAUUGACGGGGGCCCGCACAAGCGGAGGAACAUGUGGUUUAAUUCGAUAAUACGCGAGGAACCUUACCCGGGCUCGAACGAUAU